UACACUUUGACAGAAAAAAAUUCUGCAACUGAAUCCAGUCUGCCGCCUUCUCUUCCUGUCUGGGUUACCUGGCAAACUGAUAGCUAAAAGCAGCCAAUGUCAACAUGUGCAUGGGGGUGUCGGAGCACUAGUGAUGCAGUACCUUGCGUCUGUCUCCCUCGGAUUUAGUUCUUGACAACAUGGCCAGAGUUUGCUUGCUCUCUUCUCAGGAAAAUAUUCACAGUCAGUUAGGUCCAGACCAUAUAAGGUUUUUCAAUUUCUGUCACCACUUCCAUUAACACUUUGGGAUGGCACCUGGACUGGGUGCCUUGUCAGUUGGAAGGAUCUCUGACCUUUUAAAUAAGCAUUUUGACUGUUAUCUGCACUGAAGAUAUGCUGAACAGGUUGUGGGAUGCAAGGAGUAACACCGAGAAUCGGGGACCACAUCUGCACCAGUACCUCAG